UGUACAAACGAGGCUGCUUCAUUUGUGAGUCUGUAAGAUCAGCUACAGUUAACUAGUUUCUAUCCUGUGUAUGGAGUUUGAAAAAUGUUCUGUUUUUCUGCAGGUAGAUUUCGGUUUUGCAUCCAGAGUCCUCCAGCAAGUUAGCAGAGAAAUGGAACCUGUUCUUUCCUGAAAAAUAAAUUUGCAUGGCCAGGAAGGAGAAGACUGCAGACCUUCUCAUGUACAUAAACAACCUCUCAGCAGAGAAAUGAGGAGAUGUGGCUUUGCAGCUGCUGCCCAUGCUGAUCCCACCAAGAGAGUCAGGCCUACCACCAUUGAUGAGCCUAUUGGAACGAACAUUGCUGAGUAUCUCACAUGAGCAACGGCGGAGUACCCAUUUGUAUUGUACGUUUUUUCCUCCAUUUUUUUACUUGACU